rnacentral:rRNA from 1 species
GACGAACGCUGGCGGCGUGCUUAACACAUGCAAGUCGAACGGAAAGGCCCUGCUUUUGUGGGGUGCUCGAGUGGCGAAAGGGUGAGUAACACGUGAGUAACCUGCCCUUGACUUUGGGAUAACUUCAGGAAACUGGGGCUAAUACCGGAUAGGAGCUCCUGCUGCAUGGUGGGGGUUGGAAAGUUUCGGCGGUUGGGGAUGGACUCGCGGCUGAUCGGCUUGUUGGUGGGGUAGGGGCUUACCAAGGCUUUGACGGGUAGCCGGCCUGAGAGGGUGACCGGCCACAUUGGGACUGCGAUACGGCCCAGACUCCUACGGGAGGCAGCAGUGGGGAAUAUUGCCCAAUGGGCGGAAGCCUGAUGCAGCAACGCCGCGUGCGGGAUGACGGCCUUCGGGUUGUAAACCGCUUUCGCCUGUGACGCAGCGUGAGUGACGGUAAUGGGUAAAGAAGCACCGGCUAACUACGUG